AAACUAUUAGCUCAACUGGUAAAGCACUAUGCUAAUGCAUAGGGGAUGUAGGUUCGAUUCCUACAUAGGUUG
rnacentral:tRNA from 1 species